AACGAACGCUGGCGGCAGGCUUAAUACAUGCAAGUCGAGCGGGCACUUCGGUGUCAGCGGCGCACGGGUGCGUAACGCGUGGGAACAUGCCUUUAGGUACGGAACAACCAAGGGAAACUUUGGCUAAUACCGUAUAAUAUCUCUGGAUCAAAGAUUUAUCGCCUAAAGAUUGGCCCGCGUUAGAUUAGGUAGUUGGUGGGGUAAUGGCCUACCAAGCCGACGAUCUAUAGGGGGUCUGAGAGGAUGAUCCCCCACACUGGAACUGAGACACGGUCCAGACUCCUACGGGAGGCAGUAGUAAGGAAUAUUGGACAAUGGGCGAAAGCCUGAUCCAGCCAUGCCGCGUGAGUGAUGAAGGCCUUAGGGUUGUAAAGCUCUUUUAGAUGGGAAGAUAAUGACUGUACCAUCAGAAUAAGCCCCGGCUAAAUUCGUG
rnacentral:rRNA from 1 species